AGUGAACGCUGGCGGCGUGCCUAAUACAUGCAAGUCGAACGCGAAAGUCCUUCGGGAUGAGUAAAGUGGCGCACGGGUGAGUAAUGCAUAAGAACAUGCCCUUAGAUGGGGAAUAACGUUUGGAAACGAACGCUAAUACCGCAUAAUCUCGAGAGAGGAAAGGUGGCGCCGCAAGGGCUACCGGCUAAGGAUUGGCUUAUGUCCCAUUAGCUAGUUGGCGGGGUAAUGGCCCACCAAGGCAACGAUGGGUAUGUGGUCUGAGAGGAUGAUCGCACACACUGGAACUGAGACACGGUCCAGACUCCUACGGGAGGCAGCAGUAGGGAAUAUUGCACAAUGGGGGAAACCCUGAUGCAGCAACGCCGCGUGAGUGAAGAAGGCCCUUGGGUUGUAAAGCUCUUUAGCGAGGGAAGAGGGUAGAUACGGUGAAUAAUCGUGUCUGCUGACGGUACCUCGAGAAUAAGCACCGGCUAAUUUCGUGCCAGCCGCCGCGGUAA
rnacentral:rRNA from 1 species